rnacentral:rRNA from 1 species
GGUUAAGCGACUAAGCGUACACGGUGGAUGCCCUGGCAGUCAGAGGCGAUGAAGGACGUGCUAAUCUGCGAUAAGCGUCGGUAAGGUGAUAUGAACCGUUAUAACCGGCGAUUUCCGAAUGGGGAAACCCAGUGUGAUUCGUCACACUAUCAUUACGUGAAUACAUAGCGUAAUGAAGCGAACCGGGGGAACUGAAACAUCUAAGUACCCCGAGGAAAAGAAAUCAACCGAGAUUCCCCCAGUAGCGGCGAGCGAACGGGGAGCAGCCCAGAGUCUGAAUCAGCAUGUGUGUUAGUGGAAGCGUCUGGAAAGUCGCACGAUACAGGGUGAAAGUCCCGUACACAAAAGUGCAUGUGUUGUGAACUCGAAGAGUAGGGCGGGACACGUGGUAUCCUGUCUGAAUAUGGGGGGACCAUCCUCCAAGGCUAAAUACUCCUGACUGACCGAUAGUGAACCAGUACCGUGAGGGAAAGGCGAAAAGAACCCCGGCGAGGGGAGUGAAAAAGAACCUGAAACCGUGUACGUACAAGCAGUGGGAGCACCCUUUGGGGUGUGACUGCGUACCUUUUGUAUAAUGGGUCAGCGACUUAUAUUCUGUAGCAAGGUUAACCGAAUAGGGGAGCCGAAGGGAAACCGAGUCUUAACUGGGCGUUAAGUUGCAGGGUAUAGACCC